rnacentral:rRNA from 1 species
ACGGAAGGCAGCAGUGGGGAAUAUUGCACAAUGGGCGAAAGCCUGAUGCAGCGACGCCGCGUGAGUGAAGAAGUAUCUCGGUAUGUAAAGCUCUAUCAGCAGGGAAGAAAAUGACGGUACCUGACUAAGAAGCCCCGGCUAACUACGUGCCAGCAGCCGCGGUAAUACGUAGGGGGCAAGCGUUAUCCGGAUUUACUGGGUGUAAAGGGAGCGUAGACGGUUUGGCAAGUCUGAAGUGAAAUGCGGGGGCUCAACUCCUGAACUGCUUUGGAAACUGUCGAACUAGAGUGCAGGAGAGGUAAGUGGAAUUCCUAGUGUAGCGGUGAAAUGCGUAGAUAUUAGGAGGAACACCAGUGGCGAAGGCGGCUUACUGGGCUUUAACUGACGCUGAGGCUCGAAAGCGUGGGGAGCAAACAGGAUUAGAUACCCUGGUA